GUUGUGGCUCAGUUGUUAGAGUGCUUGCCUAGCACAUACGAGGCACUGGGUUCGAUUCUCAGCACGACA
rnacentral:tRNA from 1 species